UAACUGUAAUUUCCCCAACAA
rnacentral:siRNA from 1 species